CUACGUGCCAGCAGCCGCGGUAAUACGUAGGGUGCGAGCGUUAAUCGGAAUUACUGGGCGUAAAGCGAGCGCAGACGGUUACUUAAGCAGGAUGUGAAAUCCCCGGGCUCAACCUGGGAACUGCGUUCUGAACUGGGUGACUAGAGUGUGUCAGAGGGAGGUAGAAUUCCACGUGUAGCAGUGAAAUGCGUAGAGAUGUGGAGGAAUACCGAUGGCGAAGGCAGCCCCCUGGGAUAGCACUGACGUUCAUGCCCGAAAGCGUGGGUAGCAAACAGGAUUAGAUACCCUGGUAGUCCACGCCCUAAACGAUGUCGAUUAGCUGUUGGGCAACUUGAUUGCUUGGUAGCGAAGCUAACGCGUGAAAUCGACCGCCUGGGGAGUACGGUCGCAAGAUUAAAACUCAAAGGAAUUGACGGGGACCCGCACAAGCGGUGGAUGAUGUGGAUUAAUUCGAUGCAACGCGAAGAACCUUACCUGGUCUUGACAU
rnacentral:rRNA from 1 species